GCGCUACUAGUGUAGGGGUUAUCAUUCCAGCCUUCCAUAAGCCUCUCAGGCGACGUGAUUGAUAGCUGGAGAUCCAGGUUCGAGUCCUGGGUAGCGCA
rnacentral:tRNA from 1 species